UCUGGUGUCAGCCGCCGCGGUAAAACCAGCACCUCAAGUGGUCAGGAUGAUUAUUGGGCCUAAAGCAUCCGUAGCCUGCUUUGUUAGUUUUCGGUUAAAUCCAUACGCUCAACGUAUGGGCUGCCGGGAAUACUGCAAAGCUAGGGAGUGGGAGAGGUAGACGGUACUCGGUAGGAAGGGGUAAAAUCCUUUGAUCUAUUGAUGACCACCUGUGGCGAAGGCGGUCUACCAGAACACGUCCGACGGUGAGGGAUGAAAGCUGGGGGAGCAAACCGGAUUAGAUACCCGGGUAGUCCCAGCUGUAAACUAUGCAAACUCGGUGAUGCAUUGGCUUGAUGCCAAUGCAGUGCCGCAGGGAAGCUGUUAAGUUUGCCGCCUGGGAAGUACGUACGCAAGUAUGAAACUUAAAG
rnacentral:rRNA from 2 species